GCUCAGGACGAACGCUGGCGGCGUGCUUAACACAUGCAAGUCGAACGAGAAUCUGACUUCGGUCAGAGGAAAGUGGCGGACGGGUGAGUAAAAUGUAGAGAAUCUGCCUAUGAGUGGGGGACAACAUUGGGAAACCGAUGCUAAUACCGCAUAUGAGUAUAUUUGAGAUAAUAUACUUGAAAACUGAGGUGCUCAUAGAUGAGUCUGCAUCUGAUUAGCUAGUUGGGGGUGUAAUGGACCACCAAGGCGACGAUCAGUAGCUGGUUUGAGAGGAUGAUCAGCCACAAUGGGACUGAGACACGGCCCAUACUCCUACGGGAGGCAGCAGUAGGGAAUUUUGCGCAAUGGGGGGAACCCUGACGCAGCAACGCCGCGUGAUUGAAGAAGCCCUUCGGGGUGUAAAGAUCUGUCAGUGGGGACGAAAGAUGACGGUACCCACAGAGGAAGCACCGGCUAACUCCGUGCCAGCAGCCGCGGUAAUACGGGGGGUGCAAGCGUUGUCCGGAAUCAUUGGGCGUAAAGAGUUCGUAGGUGGUAAGUUAAGUCUGGUGUUAAAUUCUGAAGCUCAACUUCAGUAGAGCACUGGAUACUGGCGAACUAGAAUGCGGUAGAGGUAAAGGGAAUUCCUGGUGUAGCGGUGAAAUGCGUAGAUAUCAGGAGGAACAUCGGUGGCGUAAGCGCUUUACUGGGCCGUAAUUGACACUGAGGAACGAAAGCCGGGGUAGCAAAUGGGAUUAGAUACCCCAGUAGUCCCGGCCGUAAACGAUGGAUACUAGGUGUUGCGGGUAUCGACCCCUGCAGUGCCGCAGCCAACGCGAUAAGUAUCCCGCCUGGGGAGUACGCACGCAAGUGUGAAAC
rnacentral:rRNA from 1 species